UUUUGUAAAGUUCUUAUUUUCUGUAGUGCAGCUCAUUUCAAAAGAUAAUACUCUCACUUGUGGCUCAAGGCCUAGCAAAGGAAACUCAUCCUGUCCUCCCCUCCUUUCCCUCCGGUUUCCAGCCUCUGGGAAGAACAGACUCCUCCCUGCGGGACGAGUACCCGCAGCUCCGACCACAGCUGGCCUCUGGCAGAGGUGUGCCAACAAAGAAAGAAAACAAGAGCCAAGCUGCAUUCAUUUCAAGCUCCAUUAGGGGCAAGCACUGGAUACCAGCCAGGACCCAGGAUGGCGGUACCCAGCUAGGCUUUGCGAAUGUCAGAUGCUUUGUAUGAGACCAGUUGCAUUCUCUGAACCAACUCCUGCCACUGAAGAAUCCAGAGAUGUAAAGAUCCAGAAUCUUGGAAGCUCUCCACCUGCCUCAUCACAGGCAAACCAGUCCAGCAAUCCACCACGAGAAGAUUGUAUUCUUAUUGGCCCCUGGUCCAAAAAAGAGUGAAAUAUAUGUGAAGUCGACUUGAAUCCAUCCUACAUCUGGAGCAGUCACCCAGGCCUGUCUGCCUCCCAGUGUCCUCCUCCCAGUCUUCAGCCCUCUGCCCAGUAGCCCGAGAUGAGCCCACAGUCAAGGUGAUGAGUGUGGUGGGGCCAGAGGGAAAAAAUAUGUUGCAUGCUUCAUUUUAAAGAUUAGAAAGCCACUACCCUGGAGUGUGGCUGAAACAUUUUGGAAGAUUGUUUGCCAAGCAGAUAUUUUUCUUCUGUAAACACACACUAGACAGAAAUCCCAUGGGCUGAUGCCAGGAGCGAAUAGUCAGAGAGGAAGUAAGAAGUUUAGGCCCUUGUGAACUGUCUCUUCAGGCUGAGUUGGGGGGUGCCUGCUUGAUGGAACCCUUAGAUAAAUUUGGGGAUAAAUCAGACUAGGAGAAAAAUCAUAGCCCAAAAUGUGAUAGAAAAAACCCUGAGAAACCUGUAAAUUCUCUUACGCUGUGCAAGAACAGUUGAAUUCUCCUCAUGGCCCAAGGCCAGCUGCUGCAGGACCUCAGGGCUGACAGAGGUUUCAGCCCAUUCUGUGGGUCCCAGCUUGUCCUUGCUCUCCCUCUAUUACAUUCAUCUUCUCUUCCUGAAAUACUGCCCUGAAGAUUUCAAAUCAGACUCAGACACAAAGACUCAAACAUCAGACUCAGACUCGAAGACAAUAGUGUUAUAGGUGCUGCAUACAGCUGGGGAAGAUCAAAUCCCUGUAACAAUCUGUCCAUCU
rnacentral:lncRNA from 13 species